GUGGUAAUUCUAGAGCUAAUACAUGCUAAAAACCCCGACUUUCGAAGGGGUGUAUUUAUUAGAUUAAAAACCAAUGCCCUUCGGGGCUCUCUGGUGAAUCAUAAUAACUUAACGAAUCGCAUGGCCUUGCGCCGGCGAUGGUUCAUUCAAACUUCUGCCCUAUCAACUUUCGAUGGUAGAAUAGUGGUCUACCAUGGUGUCAACGGGUAACGGGGGAUUAGGGUUCGAUUCCGGAGAGGGAGCCUGAGAAACGGCUACCACAUCCAAGGAAGGCAGCAGGCGCGCAAAUUACCCAAUCCCGACACGGGGAGGUAGUGACAAUAAAUAUUAAUCUUGGGCUCCUUUUGGGUCUGAGAAUUGAAAUGAAAACGAGUUAAAUCUCCUAUUGAGGAACAAUUGGAGGGCAAGUCUGGUGCCAGCAGCCGCGGUAAUUCCAGCUCCAAUAGCGUAUAUUAAAAUUGUUGCAGUUAAAAAGCUCGUAGUUGAACCUUGGGCCUGGUUGGCCGGUCCGCCUCACCGCGUGCACUGGUUCGGCCGGGCCUUUCUUUCUGGGGAGCCGCAUGCCCUUCACUGGGUGUGUCGGGGAACCAGGACUUUUACUUUGAAAAAAUUAGAGUGUUCAAAGCAGGCCUAUGCUCGAAUACAUUAGCAUGGAAUAAUAGAAUAAGACGGCUGUUUUAUUUUGUUGGUUUCUAAGACCGCCGUAAUGAUUAACAGGAAACAUCGGGGCCAUCCGUAUUUCGUUGUCAGAGGUGAAAUUCUUGGAUUUACGAAAGACGAACUACUGCGAAAGCAUUUGGCAAGGGGUUUUUCAUUAAUCAGUGAACGAAAGUUAGGGGAUCGAAGACGAUCAGAUACCGUCGUAGUCUUAACCAUAAACUAUGCGAACUAAGGAUUAGCGAAUGUUAUUUAGUUGACUUCGCUAGCACUUUACCGAGAAAUCACAAGUUACGUUCUGGGGGGAGUAUGGUCGCAAGGCUGAAACUUAAAGAAAUUGACGGAAAGGCACCACCAGGCGUGGAGCCUGCGGCUUAAUUUGACUCAACACGGGGAAACUCACCAGGUCCAGACACAGUAAGGAUUGACAGAUUGAGAGCUCUUUCUUGAUUUUGUGGUUGGU
rnacentral:rRNA from 1 species